UCCGAAGGGGGCUCGCGUUGUUCGGAUUUACUGGGCGUAAAGCGCACGUAGGCGGCUUGGUCAGUUAGAGGUGAAAUCCCGAAGCUCAACUUCGGAACUGCCUUUAAUACUGCCAGUCUAGAGUCCGGAAGAGGUAAGUGGAACUCCUAGUGUAGAGGUGGAAUUCGUAGAUAUUAGGAAGAACACCAGUGGCGAAGGCGGCUUACUGGUCCGGUACUGACGCUGAGGUGCGAAAGCGUGGGGAGCAAACAGG
rnacentral:rRNA from 1 species